rnacentral:rRNA from 1 species
AUACAGAGGGUGCGAGCGUUAAUCGGAAUUACUGGGCGUAAAGCGCGCGUAGGCGGCUUGGUCAGUCGGAUGUGAAAGCCCCGGGCUCAACCUGGGAACUGCAUUUGAAACUAGUAGACUAGAGUAUGGUAGAGGGGGGUAGAAUUUCUAGUGUAGCGGUGAAAUGCGUAGAUAUUAGAAGGAAUACCAGUGGCGAAGGCGGCCCCCUGGACCAAUACUGACACUGAGGUACGAAAGCGUGGGUAGCGAACAGGAUUAGAUACCCGAGUAGUCC